rnacentral:misc_RNA from 1 species
GAUGAAGAACGCAGUGAAAUGCGAUAAGUAAUGCGAAUUGCAGAAUUUCCGUGAGUCAUCGAAUCUUUGAACGCACAUUGCGCCCACCGGUAUUCCGGUGGGCAUGCCUGUUCGAGCGUCAUUAUCCUCCCUCAAACCCCGGGUUUGGUGUUGGACCUCAAGUUGUGCGAACAACUGGUCUUAAAGACAAUGACGGCGUCCGGAGGACCCUCGGUGCAACGAGCUUUCAGGAGCACGCGUCGAGUUUCAAGGACCUUCCGGCCCGGUCUCUUUACUCCUUUCACAAGGUUGACCUCGGAUCAGGUAGGAAUACCCGCUGAACUUAAGCAUAUCAAUAAGCGGAGGA